rnacentral:tRNA from 1 species
GCCCCAGGUCACCGGCCCUACACCCCAGCCUCUCUCCUAAAGCGGGUGUCGCAGGUUCGAAGCCUGCCGGGGGCACCA